AAAAUUACCCUGUUUUUGGAACGAGGUAUUUUGUUCAGAACGAGGCUGGGUAAAAUUGCCUCGUUUACUAAACGAGGUAUUUUAUCCAAGAUAAUUAUUAGCGGUAUUUGCUGUCAACAAAUAGAGCCAUACAAAUAAUGUUCGGACCAUCAUGUGACCAAUUGCAGAUCUACAAAUUAGAUUAUUUAUUUGGGACAUGAUAUUGUUCAUAGUUAUGGCUUACUACACUGGAGUUCUAUUAUGUAUAAUAAACGCUUCCCAAGCGAAACAAAACAUAACAAUGUCACGUGACAAUAUUACAUAUGGCGGAUACAAGCGUUCUUUGAUUACAUGCUGUUUGGUUUGAUUAUUAAAUAAUACGGCAAUCUGUAUAUAUGGGAAAAGGAGAAUGAAUUUCCCCAAAUCCAAAACUAGAUGACUGGAAUAUUUAUUGAAUGGAAAGUAAAUAUUUUAUAAACAAAAAUAUUCGGAUUUGCAGUAUCCUAGCUUGGAUGGAUUUGUGAUUUGAAUCUCGAACUCAGUGUUUUAUACAUUUUAUUAUAAAAUUGUAAUAAAUGUUUUACAUGAAUGAAUAAAAUCUACAAUUUAAAACAGUACAAUAACAUUGUGAUUUGACGCUCUACAAAUCACUAAGACUAUAACAAUUGCUUGUUGAAAAAGCGUUAAUAAUAUGUUUUUUUCCAUUUAUUAUUUUUUAAAAAUAUAUUCAAAAAGAAUGCGUCUUUUACAGAUUUCAAUAUAACCACAAAUGGUUGAUUGUUUUAAUGCUAAGAUAAGUAUUAAUGGUUUGUAUUUGAAAAUCAAAUUAUAUAAGCGAAAAAUAGUAAGAUACAUUAUGUAUAUCUUAAAACACGCCCUUCUCAGUUACUACUUCGGCGAAUAUCGUUUGAUAAUUUAGAUGAUCAGAAUUAAACACCGUUUUGCUAUGUUAUUAUUUUUUUAUGAUUGGGUGGGGGUAUACUUAAUUAGGGGAUUGGAUUGAAAGAUUAUAGCUACCAUCUUAUGGAGACAUAAUGUGUGGUGCAUUUACGGUCUUAUAAAGCUCUAUUCUUACAUAAAGAAUUCUUGAUUCGCACGGAAGUGUUUUAGCCGUGAUCAUUUUAAGUCAUGCUUAUGCCAAGAUCUGGUUUCAAUAUUGGAUGUAUAUGCAAAUCACCCAGAAAAAGAUCAUGUAAUAACAAAAGAAAUUAUAAAAGAAAAAAAGGAAGAAGAAAUGGCUGGAAAAAAUGAUGAUAGAGCAGCUUUUUCUUGUUACCCACCUCGGAAGAUCAAGUUGAAAAGGGCUAUUGAUAUUGUGGAGACGUUUUCUCACAGAUCUUGCUUAUCAGACAAAGACUAUGCUGGAACACCAUUGAAAGAGUAUUUGCUGUAUGAUAACAACAAGAAAACCCAAGCAUCAAUUUAUUUUAUACUUCUGGGAAAGAAUGCAUUUGACCCAAUUUUUAAAUAUUUAUUUUUUGUUAUUAAUGUUAAAUUUUCUUCCAAAACACAAUUAGAUUUUAAUUCUCUUCAGAAAUGUAUGUAUAAUAUAGCAAGUAAAGUGGCAUAUAAAUCACUUAGAAUUUGGUCAGAAUCAUAAAGUAUUUAAUAGGCAUUACUAGAAACCAAAUGUAGAUCAAAUACACCCAGAAUUACAAAAAACCUUGACCUACAUAAAGGUGACUUUCCCUUGCUUAUGAAAUGAAAUACGGUUUAGUAUCCUACUUUUCUGUGUUCUUAGAGUGAUUCGACCCUACACCCUACUCUUAUAUCAAAUAUUUAAACUGUCAAGGGUUCUUUAACGGGAACCCGGGGGGGGGGGGGCAAUGAUUAACACGCACACAUUUGAUCGGGAAGUCUGUCAUUGAGUCAAAUAAUUCAAUUGUCAAGGCUUCUUCUAAGUGAACGCAGUGGGGAUGGUUUGGAUUCCGGGAAUGGGGGAGGGGGUGGUGGAUGGCCGAAUGGUAAGCAUGUGCGUGCGGUAUCAUACAGCCUGUCAUUGAGUCAACUGGCGUGGUUUCGAAUCCCCGGUUGUACGUGACAAGGAGUAGGGUCGCCUGUCCAAUCUUGUGGGUUUUCUACGGGACCUACGGUUUCCUCCCACUGCUAAAGACCCCUAUGCGCAACGAAUUAUUGAAAUAAAAUUAAACCAUAUGUUAAUCCCGAAAUGACCUAGUUUGUGUCAAGUGGACGUUAAACCCCAUUUCUCUCUCUCUCUCUCUUUUGAUUCCGGGCUUGUACCCAAUUAUCCCUUGCCAUAUCCAAGACUACUGACAAGUGGGAACUAUGCCGGAAAAUCCAGUUGAAAUUUCUCGGCCAACACCUUAUACUCACUGAACCACUGUGGCUUAUGACUUGUGAUUGUAUAUAAAUGUUUUGUACAUAUGAAAUUUUUUUAUUUCAAUCCUGUAAUCUUGAUGCUUUGCUUCUUUUAUUUACAAAAUAUUCAUUUUGUUUGGGGUUUUUUAAUGAGGAAAAGGUUUUACAUCAUUUUAUUACUCCUGCAAAAUAGUGCAUUUUUCUUUUGUUAGUUUUCUGUGUAUAUUAGUUAUUUCUAUAUGUCUCACAAAUCACUUGUAGUGUGAUUUUGUAGCACUUUUCAGUUUUUGAAAUUGUUUCAAUUUAGUGCAUAAUUAAUCUUAGUGCUUGGUUUGGAUGUUAUUAAAUUUAGAUAUUAUUUGAAUUAUAUAUUUUGGAGUAUGGGGUAGGGAUACUGUGUACAUAUCUUUAUAUUCUCAGUUCUUGUUUUGGGGUAAAGAACAAUUUAUAUAGCUAUUUUAUAUUUUGUGAUAGGUAAAGUGUGUGGGGUUAAGAACAAUUUAAAUAGCUAUGUUAUAUUUUGUGAUGGGUAAAGUGGUGUGUGUGUGUGUGUGUGUGUGUGUGUGUGGGGGGGGGGUCAUUAUAU